rnacentral:rRNA from 1 species
GACGAACGCUGGCGGCGUGCCUAAUACAUGCAAGUAGAACGCACAGUUUAUACCGUAGCUUGCUACACCAUACACUGUGAGUUGCGAACGGGUGAGUAACGCGUAGGUAACCUGCCUGGUAGCGGGGGAUAACUAUUGGAAACGAUAGCUAAUACCGCAUAAUAUUGAUUAUUGCAUGAUAAUUGAUUGAAAGAUGCUAUUGCAUCACUACCAGAUGGACCUGCGUUGUAUUAGCUAGUAGGUGAGGUAACGGCUCACCUAGGCGACGAUACAUAGCCGACCUGAGAGGGUGAUCGGCCACACUGGGACUGAGACACGGCCCAGACUCCUACGGGAGGCAGCAGUAGGGAAUCUUCGGCAAUGGACGAAAGUCUGACCGAGCAACGCCGCGUGAGUGAAGAAGGUUUUCGGAUCGGAAAGCUCUGUUGUAAGAGAAGAACGGGUGUGAGAGUGGAAAGUUCACACUGUGACGGUAUCUUACCAGAAAGGGACGGCUAACUACGUG